rnacentral:rRNA from 1 species
AUGCACAACAUUAUUCUUGCUUUAAUCAACAUGAACCAUCCACAUGCUUCUGUUUCAAACAUUCUCAACUUUAUGUGGUGCCUUUGGAAAGCAAGAAACGACUAUCUUUUUGACAGGAAAAAGGCUCUCCCUCACCAUGUUAAUAUUGUUGCAAAUUCUUUGUCUUCUGAAUCUAAUGAUCUUCUUAAUAUCUCUCAACAAUUACAGCCUCAGGCUCCCAUCCGGUCUUCAACUCCUACUAACCAAAUUCCUUUGCAGGGUCAUACACUUAAAUCUGAUCUUCUUAUUAUAGGUUCCAAAGUUUAUUCUGAUGCUGCUUUCAAAUGUAAAAAUAUUCCAGGUUUAAUGUAG